rnacentral:pre_miRNA from 1 species
UUAACUCAUAUUUGUAUGGAACGGGAUCGUUUGCCUACGUUUGCCGUUAGGGGGCACUGUUCCAACUACAUACAAAAUUUGGUUA